rnacentral:rRNA from 1 species
GGAAUUAUUGGGCGUAAAGGGCGCGCAGGCGGCCUGUUAAGUCUGAUGUGAAAGACCGCGGCUCAACCGCGGGGUGGCAUCAGAAACUGGCAGGCUUGAGUGCAGGAGAGGAGAGUGGAAUUCCCGGUGUAGCGGUGGAAUGCGUAGAGAUCGGGAGGAAUACCAGUGGCGAAGGCGGCUCUCUGGCCUGUUACUGACGCUGAGGCGCGAAAGCGUGGGGAGCGAACAGGAUUAGAUACCCUGGUAGUCCACGCCGUAAACGAUGAGUGCUAGGUGUUGGGGGUAUCACGCUCUCUGUGCCGAAGGUAACCCAAUAAGCACUCCGCCUGGGGGGUACGGCCGCAAGGCUGAAACUCAAAGGAAUUGACGGGGGCCCGCACAAGCGGUGGAGCAUGUGGUUUAAUUCGAAGCAACGCGAAGAACCUUGCCAGGGCUUGACAUCCCGCUGAUCGGUGUAGAGAUACACCUUCCCUUUUGGGCAGCGGUGACAGGUGGUGCAUGGUUGUCGUCAGCUCGUGUCGUGAGAUGUUGGGUUCAGUCCCGCAACGAGCGCAACCCUUAUCGUCAGUUGCCAGCACUUGGGGUGGGCACUCUGGCGAGACAGCCGGUGAAAGCCGGAGGAAGGUGGGGAUGACGUCAAAUCAUCAUGCCCCUUAUGUCCUGGGCUACACACGUGCUACAAUGGCCGGUACAACGGGCAGCGAACCCGCGAGGGGGAGCCAAUCCCAGAAAACCGGUCUCAGUUCGGAUCGCAGGCUGCAACUCGCCUGCGUGAAGCUGGAAUCGCUAGUAAUCGCGGAUCAGCAUGCCGCGGUGAAUCCGUUCCCGGGCCUUGUACACACCGCCCGU